UCACAUUUAGUAGCAGACCUAUUUUAUUAGAGGAGAGUUCUCGCAGUGUUCGCCCUAACUUGGCCCGGUGGAAAAGCGUGUAAGCCUGUGUUCUUUCUGAAACCAUUUUCUGGUCAUUUGGGAUUUUACGCAAAUGCCUGUAGCUGUCUGAGCUGCAUUCCCCAAACCACUGAGGGCAGCCCAGACUCCAGAUAACUGCACCACCUACAUGACGAAGCCACUUAUCCAGGUUGCCUGAGUCACUGAAGGCUGCUGUCCCCAGAUCAGGCUGGACUUCCUGCAAGUCACACCAAACCAUCAACAGAACAUUCUCCACAUUCGGGGUUUUUCCCCCAGAGACACUUUACAAGGAGUGUCAGUUCCUCCCCUCACUGGCCUGGCCUGAAUUCUCCCAGGUCUGAGAUUGGGACGACCAGGGUUGGGGGAUGGGGCACAUCCUGAUCAUGAUAAUUCUGACCACACAG
rnacentral:lncRNA from 1 species